rnacentral:rRNA from 1 species
GGACUACUGGGGUAUCUAAUCCUGUUUGAUCCCCACGCUUUCGUGCCUCAGAGUCAAUAGUAGUGUAGCGAGCUGCCUUCGCAAUUGGUGUUCUAUGUCAUAUCUAAGCAUUUCACCGCUACAUGACAUAUUCCGCUCACCUCCACUGUAUUCAAGACAGAGAGUAUCAAUGGCAGUUCUGGGGUUAAGCCCCAGGAUUUCACCACUGACUUACCUGCCCUCCUACGCACCCUUUAAACCCAGUGAAUCCGGAUAACGCUUGCACCCUCCGUAUUACCGCGGCUGCUGGCAC